rnacentral:rRNA from 1 species
CAAUAGCGUAUAUUAAAGUUGUUGCAGUUAAAAAGCUCGUAGUUGAACUUCAGGCUUGGCGGGGUGGUCUGCCUAACGGUAUGUACUAUCCGGCUGAGCCUUACCUCCUGGUGAGCCUGCAUGUCGUUUAUUCGGUGUGUAGGGGAACCAGGAAUUUUACUUUGAAAAAAUUAGAGUGUUCAAAGCAGGCAUAUACCCGAAUACAUUAGCAUGGAAUAAUAGAAUAGGACGUGCGGUUCUAUUUUGUUGGUUUCUAGGAUCGCCGUAAUGAUUAAUAGGGACGGUUGGGGGCAUUAGUAUUCAGUUGCUAGAGGUGAAAUUCUUAGAUUUACUGAAGACUAACUACUGCGAAAGCAUUUGCCAAGGACGUUUUCAUUAA